rnacentral:rRNA from 1 species
AGUGAACGCUGGCGGUAGGCCUAACACAUGCAAGUCGAACGGCAGCACAGUAAGAGCUUGCUCUUACGGGUGGCGAGUGGCGGACGGGUGAGGAAUACAUCGGAAUCUACUUUUUCGUGGGGGAUAACGUAGGGAAACUUACGCUAAUACCGCAUACGACCUACGGGUGAAAGCAGGGGAUCUUCGGACCUUGCGCGAUUGAAUGAGCCGAUGUCGGAUUAGCUAGUUGGCGGGGUAAAGGCCCACCAAGGCGACGAUCCGUAGCUGGUCUGAGAGGAUGAUCAGCCACACUGGAACUGAGACACGGUCCAGACUCCUACGGGAGGCAGCAGUGGGGAAUAUUGGACAAUGGGCGCAAGCCUGAUCCAGCCAUACCGCGUGGGUGAAGAAGGCCUUCGGGUUGUAAAGCCCUUUUGUUGGGAAAGAAAAGCGGCGGGUUAAUACCCCGCUGUUCUGACGGUACCCAAAGAAUAAGCACCGGCUAACUUCGUG